UAGAAGAACGGGACUCGAACCCGCACCAAAAGACUCAAAAUCCUUUGCACUUCCUUAUGCAACCUCCUA
rnacentral:tRNA from 1 species